CAGCCGCCGCGGUAAUACGUAGGGUGCGAGCGUUAAUCGGAAUUACUGGGCGUAAAGCGUGCGCAGGCGGUUGUGUAAGACAGGUGUGAAAUCCCCGGGCUUAACCUGGGAACUGCGCUUGUGACUGCACAGCUAGAGUAUGGCAGAGGGGGGUGGAAUUCCACGUGUAGCAGUGAAAUGCGUAGAUAUCAAGAGGAACACCUGAGGCGAAGGCGGGUUGCUGGGCCGACACUGACGCUGAUGCGCGAAAGCCAGGGGAGCAAACUGGAUUAGAUACCCCGGUAGUCCCUGUCUCUUAUAC
rnacentral:rRNA from 1 species